rnacentral:lncRNA from 1 species
GAUACAAGCUCAUGUAAGUUUAGGUUCUAUUAGGAAGUUCUUUGCCUGACUUUUGCAACUCAUGAUGCUUGGUCAAGGCUUCAUUCCUUAAAACUCUUAUUGGAUGCGGAUGCCUAUAGCGUCAAUUGUUUUUGAGUAGCGAUUCAAUUUUCUCAAACAGCGAUACGGGUAUAAUCCUGAAUUUUGUCUUUGGACUACUAAAAAAAAUAAAGGGAAAGAAGAACUGUCCUUUGAUUCCAUUUCUCGUAUCGUGCUAUGUUCUUCUAUCCCCUGUUUAUGGCUUUUGCUCGUACUUAUUUCUAAAUUAAGUCUUGGUUAUAUGAUACUGCUAGAGAUAUCUCUUUUUCUUUUAUACUUGUGUGUUUUUCACGAGCAUAUAUAUAUGUGAAGCCUACAGAGGUAAGAAAGGGGACCAUAGGUGAUGGGACUCGUUGCAGCAUAUGAACUAGACGUAGAACCUCCCCCUCUCCUCUCCAUCUCCCCAAAGAAUUCAGCUACAAAGCUGGUCUAUACAUUUAUAUUAAACGAGGCAAAUGAGUAGACCAGGUUUCUGACCCAAAGUAAGAAUGCGUAGAGAAUUUAGGUUCGAAUGGGCUGCUGCUUACUGUGUGCCGUGUACCUGCUAGCCAAAGUUUGAAACUGUUUUGGGCUCGUUGUUAAAAAAGUGGUUGAAAAAUGUGUUCACGAAAAAUAUAAAAACUUUUCUGCAAAAACUCACAAUCCAAAAUAAAAAUUUUUCUGCAAAGGUUGGUUCCCUCUUUUAUUUUGGCCGGUUGAUUUGAUUGCACUGUGUCUCACCAAUAUGGUGUCAAAGCUAAGCUCAGAAAGACACCGCCAACGAAUCUGAUUUCCUCAAAUCCCCCAGUACAGUAGGAGCAAUUCCUAACUGCAGCCGAAGGAGGAAACCUUUGGUCAACGACCCGAAAUCCUAAAUUGGUGGGAAGUCGCCAGCUGUUUGUGUUCGAUACGAGUGGUCUUUGCCUUUGACUGAGGUCAGAGGUCACGAGCCCACCCGCACCAAAGUUGAUGCAAAUCCGUCUUUGCCUAAAACAUGCACCAAAACCUGGACGUAGCCACCAAGCAGUAGACUGUGGGUGAGAGGGAGGGAUAUAGGCUUGGCGCAUAUUAGUAGGGGAAGGAAGGUAUUAGGAGGGCGGAGGACGUCAAAAGUCCUUAGGCCUCCGCUCUUUGUUUUGCCCAAUUCACAUGAGAACCCCUGAGACUAAUAUAAACUCUCGAAAUACCUUAGCAGGGCCCCUGUUUCUGAAAUUAACGAUAGACACUAAUAAGAUAACACAAAUUAUUAGGCGCAACGCACAUAUUAGUGCGCAUAUCUUCUGUAUUAUAUACAUACUACAUGCAUGGAUUUGGGAUCACCUCCGCGGGAUAAAAUGAUAUACUAAUUCUAGUAGGUGGGAAAAAUCCAGUUUUAUAUUGGCAUGGUAGUAGUAUAACUAAAAGUACUGACCUGUGGCUGCCGUCGCCUUCACGAGACCUUUAUUUCAGGUCCCUUUGCCAUUUUUCAUGCAUCCGACUCCCUCUCUGGUCUCUAACCUCCUUGGUCUAAGGGUUCUCUUUUGACCUUGUGAACUCAUCAUAUCAGAAAAACUACUAAUUAUCCGACAGCAAUCCGAGGGCACAGUCCCCCUUUUGUUUAAUUCGUUCACCACGACUUUAAAUUCACGCAUACGCAUACGUGAUUCCAUAAUUGAUAAUGCUACUAGGAAGGAAAAGUUGAACGAGAUCCCAUGCCUUUUGCCUAAAUUCUUCCCGAUAAACCCUCAUUCAUACUUUCCCCGGAAGCUCUACUGCGCACGUACGUACUAUAGAAUAUCACUCACAUCGUUCACUCGGCCCUUUUUAACCUAAGCCAGCAUGUUCGAUACGGCAUCCACAAGGUCAAACUCCAUUAGCAAUCCGGUGAACAAUUUAGUUCAUGACAUCCUCUCCCACGACAGUAAUGUCAUGCUCGCCGCGGUCAUCUCAUUGCUUCUGGUGAUUCUCUUUGUCUUACUGCUGCAUGUUUAUGCUAAAUGGUUUCUAGUAAAAGCCCGUCAAAGGAGUAGAAGGUCUGUUUCGGUUCCACAAGUUUUAGGAGCCCGUUUUCAUCACUUUCCUUCGAUCCUGGUUGACACCACAGUUAAUUCUGCUGCCUCCCCGACGAUGGGUCUCGAAUCUUCGGCCAUUUCUUCCAUACCGCUUUUUGUGUUCAGAGCUGAUGACGGUGACGACGACGAGCAUAAUAAGCAUGGACGACUGAGUGAAUGCGCUAUCUGUUUGAGCUCGUUCGAAGAUGAGGAAAUGGGAAGGAAGCUGCCCCGGUGCAGCCAUGCGUUUCACGUCGAAUGCAUUGAUAUGUGGUUGCAUUCUCAUUCAACUUGCCCAAUUUGUCGUUGCCCAGUACUGACGUUCGAGGAUCGUAAAUCUCCUGAUCAGUCCAAAUUGUUAGGGGAGCGGGAGGCUGUUGAUCGAGAAAUAGCUGAAACAAUAAUAUUGUUGGAUGAAGUGGCCGCCGAAAUGAGCGAAGACCAGACCUCAUCAAGGCUGGACAUUAUAGUCCAGGAGGUUCCUAAUACAGAGAAUGGAAAUAAUUGCAGGAAAGACAUAAAUUCCGUGUGCUCGACAUCGUCGUCCCCCCAAUCAAACGCACAUUUGGUCGUCGUCGGCGACUCCUUAAAGAGAAUUAUGAGCAGCAGGAGUAGAUCUGAACGUAAGGUCCAUCCCUCUGGGGGCGCUGCUGAAUUGGACUUGUGAUGCAAGAAGUCUUAAGGGUUCUAUCCAUGGGGAUAGUGGUAAUGAGGAGGGCAACCUUUUGAAAUGUUUUCCGUUUUGGGUUUGAACGAACGAGUCUUCUUAAUAAUGGUUCUUCUUGUCAAUUUCUUGUGUGGCAGACCUCCUUUCUUAAUAAUAAUAGCAAGGCACUGUUUGGAUUGAAGGAAAGAGAAUGAAAGGAAAGGAGAGGACACUGGUGUAAAAGAAAAAGAAAGAAGUGCAGAGGGAAUCGGAGUUCAUCCAUAUUACGUAUUUGAAUCACAGAAGCAAAGGAAAGAAAAUUAUCACGAAUUAGCUACGUUUUUACUCAUAAUUUAAAAGUUUAAUUUAUAAACACAUAAUAGGUUUUUCUCAGGAAAUUUUAUAGGAAUAAUUUUCAUUAAAUUUGGUGUAUUUUUCCAUCGUUUCCAUCCACUCUUGGACAAAAAGGAAACAGACAAAAAAAAUAAUUAGAUUUUAUCCCUUCCUUUCCCUCCUCAAAAACCAAUCCAGACAUUAAAAACCUUAUCCCUCCAUUUCCGUCCAAUUCUCUCAAAGCAAACACAGCCUGCAGGCCAAUAAAAUCCCAACAUAACCCGUAGAGCUACAGUCAUUGUUUGUCAAGGCAUGGCUCAAAUUCAGGUGCAGCUAUCGCGGUUCAUUUGUACCGCAAGAAAUUAUUUGCGACGUCGUGCGAUACAGUAAUUAAGUGUCUGCUUCACAAUCUGAAUUAAUCAUCAGAGUCACACUGACACAGCGAGCUAACAAUUGCAGUACAUACUUUAAACCAGGGAAGGCCAAAUUGCCGGUGAAAUUUUUCUGAGCUUGUGAUUGGACCUAAAUUAAUGGGCCCACUAUGCACAUUGGGCUCAGAAUCAUUUAAAGUGGAGUAUGUUAAUUAGGAAUUUAAUAACGGGACAUGGAAUUUAAUCAGGGACCAAAUUAAAAUAUUCCUUCACACUCCAUGCUUUUCCUUCAAGAACGGGUAGUAGCCAUACCGCAUUUUCACCUAAAAAAACACUAUGCGCAAUUAAUUGGCUUACAAAAGGAAUGAGCGGUUUUCUUGCUUGAUUUUUAGAGAACAAGUUUUGAAGGUGGAAAUAAUUAAUUGGUAUGUGUUUUCCACUUUGAGCUGUGCCAAAUAUGUAAAUGUAAUGACCGCUUCCACUUCGAUAUGAGAGAGACUAACACCACAGGUUGGGUCAUCGUACGUGUGUACAUAUAACUUGUAAAGUUCUCCUUAUGGUUACUUUUAACAGCAUCUGAUCAUGAGAUAUGAAACUUUCAAAAAUUAUGAUACAUGGGGUCCUCCAUCUAAGAUAAACUCCUGAAAAUUUUAUUCAUAAAAACAGAAGAGAUUUUUUUUUUUUUUUUUUUUUAAAAAAAAAAGAAGAGUAAAUUGAGAAGAAGAAUUUUUUUUUUUUUUUUUAAAAAGGAAGGCCAUGCGUAGAAUUUUUACAUUUAUGCAGCAAUUAGUAGCGAAGCAGUGGUAGAAGAAGAAGAAGAAGGACAGAGGUUGGAUCGACAAAGAGGACAGCUUGCCUUGUUUUGCAGCCAUUUAUCAACGCAUUCAGAAUGGAAGACAUGCAUGCAUCCGGGAAUCACCUUUACCCUUUCAUUUUCUUCGAACAAAGCCAAGCAGAUUGAGCACUCGUUAUUAUAUUCUUCAACACUAGUACUACUGCUGCUACCCACUGCACCUUCCAACUCAGAACUACUACUACUUACCAUAGCAGUGGUACUGCGCAAUGAGCUAUGCAAGAAAACGGGCAAGCUAUUGAUUGUGGCUUCAUCAAGUCCCUUGUUGUUGUUGUUGUUCUGAGCCAUCGAAACGCCAAUUAUUCCUCCGACUCCGAGUACUGCAGCAUAAGCACUGGUACUUGUGCGGCCGGAUGACGAUGAAAACUGGCGAUGUUGGCGAAUAAAAUAGAAGAAAAAGAUGGUGAUGAGGAUUAUGAUGGACAAGACUAGAAUGGCGAUGACGGCUAAGCUGUGAUUGUGAAACUGCAGACUCAGGUUGAGGUCAGAGAGAUACCAAUUAUGGGUACUAGAGGCCGGUUCUACAUCGUCUUCCAAGGCCAUAAAUUAAAAACUCUCAACUUACUGCUACUAAUCAACGAACCGGAUGGAUGGAGGUUGGAAGCGUUUUUGAAAGAGAGAUCAGAUAUGAAGCAGAACAAGUACUGGUGUAGUUACUGGGAUGGAUAUGGAGAGAUUUGAGUGAGUUAUGGAAGUUAUGGGGAUCGAAGUAUGGGGCGCCAGUACUCUUUAAUUGUAUAUCACAGUACAAGCUGAUCACAGGCACAACAUCAGCUUCUUUUGCUUGUUGAUUGGUGAGAUAGCAUUUGUUAUCAGUUGGCCAGUAAUAGUUUCGAGUUUCAACUGCAUGACAACUCACUAUCCCCGGAAGCCAGUAACUUUGCCGGUAAGGACUUGGAUGGGUAAUCAGCCAUUCGGCCCCAAUUUUCUGUAUCUUUUUCGACCCUUGAAUAUUUGGAAGCUUUUAGACAGAAAGCUCUUAUAUUAUAUACUAGCCAGAAGAAUUUUAUAGACAGAAAUGUUUUGAAAAUUUUACAUGGAAUAUAACUUUUUAAUUAGUACACGAUUUAUGGAUUCAUCCCUAUAUAUCCUCGGGCUUGUUCUCAACUACUUUCAUUUUGUAAAAGCUGAUUUUCUACAAUUGAUUCUUAAAAAUUGGAUUUCUGAGAACAACUCAUGUGUUCUCAUUUCUUGUUAAAAAAAAAUCUAUUUAAAUAAAUGCAUGGAUGUUCUAGAAAAAGUGUUUUGGUAGAUAACUAAUCCUGCUCUUAAAUAUUACUACUGCACAACAUCCUCCAGACAUCACCCUGAGUAAUGUUUGAUUGGGCAUGGAAGAGAUCUGCCAUAAUGUAAUUGAAUUCCUCUCGCAACUGUGCUCUAUGUCCCACAAAACUCCCAUGACUUUAUGAGGAUUAACGAAUUUAGUUUGGUUCUAGGUUAGUGAUUCUGUUUCGUUUGACUCCUGAAAAUCGUGGUAUUGCCUAAUAAAAAGGUGAAGGUAAUUGAUCAACUUUAAGUAGACAUUUGCUUUACAAUAGUUAUGGUCAAGUUGUCAAAUGAUCAAAAGUAACACUAAACGACCUUGAAAGAUUUCGCCCAUUCACUCAACUGUAUCAAUAAUUGCAUACUGAAACGUCAGAGAAAUUUAUCUAACUAUUACCAUGCUUUGAUAAUCAUUUUUUAGCAUAAAUUUCGACUGUAUUUCAGUUCAAAAAGUUCAAUUCCAGUUAAUAUUAUUUUCCAGGAAUUAAUUUCGACCCGAUGAUAGAAUUGGAGAUCAAACAAUUCGCCAUGCAUCUAAUCAAACCAAAAAAAAUAGGAAAAAGAAAAAGAAGAUGGACAUUUAGAAGCUCAACCACGACCAGUUCUCAACCUUGGCAAUAUACACAUGGUUCGAAGUCUCGGCCGAGACCGAGACGACUAGGCCGAGUUGUCACCGAAAUACUUGACUCGUCGAGAAAUCGGCCGAGUCGUCACUGCGACGGAUUGACUUGGCCGAGUCACUCCGAGUUAUCCCGAGUCAAGACGAGAAAUCAGCCGAGUCACACCGCGAUUGAUUGACUUGGCCAUAUCUUUUGCUAUUUUUUAAUUAUUUUUAUUUAGCAUACUUUUUUAUAUUAUUAACAAUUUUUAGAAUAUUAAAUACUUUAAAAUUUGCGUCUCACCGAGACCACGACUGAUAUGCCGAAACCGAUGUGGAAUGUUCCGGACCGCGACCGCGACUUUGAAAAUGUGCAUUGGAUGUUUAAGCGACACCUGAAGAAAAUAUUUACUAUCAAUGUUACACUUCAUCACGGCUGCCAAUCUCUCUCUCUCUCUCUCCUGAUAGACAUUACGAUAAUGUUAUAAAGCCCAAUUCGGACCAAUCGGUCAAAUCAAUUGAACCGUCAACCGGCUUCUUUUUUUGUCUGGGUUUGCUUAAAAAAAUUAGUUAAUUAGUAUCAAUUUACAUCUAAAUCAGUUGAACUGUCCAGUUCGACCAUUGAACUGUUAACCCAAAACGGUUUUGUGAGAAUAUGUUGGUUCAAUAUCCAACCUUAAUUAAAUCAAUAAUUUUGAAUUUGGUCAACUAAUUUCAUUAAUGACAUUCCAAAUUUAAUAUUUUACCAAUUACCCAUACAUAAUUAUCUCCAAUUAAUUGGACAAUAACAAUCGUUGCCUUAUUCUAUUCAAUUAUCUUUCUCUUCCAUAAUUACAUAUUAACUCUUGUUUAACAUUUAUAACAUAUAAUUGACUAUAUUAGUUUUUUUAAAUCUUGAAUGUAUUUCAUUUUUUUGUUAAUGCCUUUUAAGUGUUUUAAUUUUUAUCAUAUAAACUAGUACUCAUAUAAUUUAGAAAAAUUAAAAAUAUAUGAAAUAAUACUGUUUAAAAUCCUUUAACUAAUAAAAGCUAUUUUUGAGUUUCAAACAAAUAAUAUUACUUAGAAUAAUAGAAUAAGAAUUGAAAUGAUUACAUUUGACCAUAUGGCUUAAGUUUCUACGAAUAUUUGUUUAUUUUUAGAUGUUUAAUAUUUAUUAAUAAUAUUUAUAUGAUAUCAUGAGUUAAUAACGGUCAAUUCAACGGUUGAACCAGUGAUCUUUGAUCCAUUCAUUUUUCUGGGUCAAUAAAUGGUUUGGGUUUUCAAAACCUUGCAUUACGACUACUAAUCCGACUUCACUACUUUUAAUUGUUACGAAUACUCCAUACAAUAAUGACUGCGUUUGAAGUGAGGAAUUUGACUAAUGAUUUGAAAUCCUCCGAAAUCCUUCUAAUUAUUUACAUUAUUUAGGGGGUAUUUAGAUUUAUAAAUUGUACAUUAUUCUUGUAUCUAAUAUAUAUUAUAAUAAUUGUUAUAUUGUGAACUCAAAUACUUAUUAAGCAAUUCAAAUAAUCAACGAUUUGGAUGAAUUUCAAAUCCUUCUUCAAAUUCUUCCAUCCAAAUAAAUGAAGCUGAUUGAUUUAUGGACAAAAUGUAAAAGUAUCAUAAGUAGUAGUUACAUAGCCCUUGUUAAUUAACCUCAAGAUGCACGUGCGUAUGCAAAAGAAAUUACUUGUUGAACAGCAAAACUCCCCGCGGGGCUAAGAUCAGCUGCCAUGCGCUCCAGCCCAACUAGGACGCGCCAAGUCUCCGAGUGGUUUUGCAGAGUCAUGGCACGACUGGUUCAGCGGUGGAGGAGUCAAGAGACGAUCGACAAAGGGGACAUGUGGACCGACUCCUUAGCCACUCGUCAACGCAAUCGGAAUGGAAAAUAUGGAGACAGUCGGGCAUAACCUUAAGCACAUCUUCAUCUUCAUACAAUCCUAAACAUAUGCAGCAUUCGCUUCGUUUGAAAUUAUUAUGAUUAAUGCUGGUGUCAAUAUACACGGACGAUCGAUGUGUAAACAUUGGGAGGCUUUUAAUGGUAGUGGCAUCCAGGCCUACUGCUACCGGUGCUGCUGCCGGUAUUGCAAUUGCAUGUUGGCCGAUCAUCGUCGGACCAGUAGCGCCUGUUGCUGCGACGACAGAACCGCGGCCCCAAGAGCACGCUAGACGGAACAGGGCACAAGCUAAAAAGACACUGAAAAUGAAGGUGAGAAGCACGAGCGCCACGGAAAGGGCUUGGCCCCGGAGAUCGAUCAAGUACCUUUGAGAAGGUUCAACUUCUUGAAAUUCCAUGAUCGAUCAUCAAGAAGAACAAGCUAGCUGUACAAUUGAUAAUGCAGCGUAAUGAAGUAAUCUCCUAAUGAGUGAUUAUGAGAACUAUAUAAUUCAGGAAUGGGAAUUCGGCUUAAUUGAGUGAGAGAUCUGGACCUUAGUUAAUUUAUAGUACUAGUACUCUGUAGUUUGCGACUAGGUGCUAAUGUUAUUAACGUAAUUUAACAUGGUUUGCCUGGAUGGUUUGCAAGGUGCUAAUUGCUAUUUCUGUGUUUGGGCCAAACUCUAGAUGUCCCUUGGAGCCUGUCUACAUUCCCAGACAUGCAUAAUUUUUUUCACAGAUUAGAAGAAUUGGAUAAGCUCAAGCUGGGGCUGGUCGCAAAAUGCGAGUUAGCAAACUUAAUGAAGCUCCUCUGGAAUUCAGCCCCUUUGGCAAACAAUCCAAAGUUGGAGGCCAGCAGCACAUAGUUGGUGGAAGUGUUUGAUAUUUUUGCUUGGACAACACCAUGCAAAGCUGAGGAUUACCUUGAAUUGAUGAAUCAUUAGGGUGGGCAUUUGUCUCGUAAAGUACUAAGAAGCACAGAUAUUUCGAUUAAGAACGUGAACUUCUUUGACUAAUAUCUGUCUUACAUUUGUAGGAUUAUAUUUGUAGAUAUUUUUCAAACAUUGUCAUUAACUAAUUAAUUGGUUUUUCUUUUCUUUUCCCUUUUAAAUCAGUGGUAACAAUUUGAUAACUGCAACACUUACCCUUCAAAACCCAGAUUUUCAAUGUCUCACGCGUAAGGGGGGGAAAAUUCUGGGUUCAAUUUUUGUUUAACCGUUUCAGUUUAGGGCAUUUCUUCAAAUUUUGAGCCUUGUUUGGCAGACAAGUUUUUUGUCAAGUUUGUCUGCUACAAGUUUUUUAAAAACUUUAGUUAUAGUAAUCUCAAAAAACUUCUCAAAGUUUUUAAACUAUACACUUCAAAAUAUUAAAAAAAAACACACAUUUCAAAAAAAUUUUAAAAAACUUUUACAAUAAGUUAUAGUAAAAUUUUAGACAAGUACUCAAAAAACUCACUUGUCAAACGUGUUUCAGCAAUUGUUUCUCCGGUAAGUUUCUUACAAGAAGCCUUGCAAAUUCCUCUUUCAAACAUAUCUAUUAACAGAAAGAAAAAGAGAAAGGAAUAGAACUAGUGAGAAACGUCCCGCAUAUAUCUUGGAUUGACAAACUGAAUUAGACGGAGAAGACAUAAAUUUGAAGGUUGAUAACAAUAGUAUAGAGGAAGAGAAACAAAUAAAUAUUAGAGGUGGAAUUGAAAAUUUCAAGAGAAAGAAAUGAUGAGAACCGGAAGAAAGAAUAGUCAAACAAAAUUAUUGAUAACAAUAGUAGAGAGAAAGAGAGAAUUAAAUAUUAGAGAUGGAAUUGAAAUUUUCAAGAGAAAGAAAUGAUGAGACCCGGAAGAAAGAAGGUUAUAGUAAAAAACAUUGAAAAGAUGGUCCCGGCGGGGCUCGAACCCGCGACCUUCGGCUCAUAAGACCAACGCUCUAACCAACUGAGCUACGGGACCUCUUCUUGACAUGAAUCGUAAUCACAGAUGAUAUUCUGGGUUCUGUUCAUUACGAAACACAGCAUAAUCUACGAACGAAAAGUAUAAUAUUCCACGACUUAAAAAACGGGAUGUAGCAAUUAUGGUGAAUAACAAUAAGGAUGAAGAUGAAAAUUUCUUCUACAGUUUGGAUUGAAAUGAGCUGAAUUUCAUAUUUAAGAUAAUCGACCUGGUCAUGCCAGAUCUUUGCCUAUUCAUCCAAUUUCCCAUGAAAUCUGCCUUGCUUCAUACAUCAUUAAAUCCAACUUAUCGUCAUAGCCCAAAAAGCAGAAUUCGCAUUUCAGCAGUGGACCGAUUCCAUGUUAGUUGUUGUGGCUUCUGUGUAGACAUCCAACUCAUACCCUGCGAUUUGCUUUGUCUGAUUCACAUUUUCUUUUUCCUUCGCCAUCCAAUUCACAUGCUUUGAAGGGAAGGAAAGAGUUUUUGAAGAAAUGGACAAACGUUUAUCGGUUUAUGCAAAUCCCACUUCAGAUUCCACUGCCUCAACAUCCAAUACCAGUUCUGUGCAUUUCCUUAAUUUCCUCGGAGAAAUACAAGCAGAGAAUGUUGCACUCUCAUAACUUUUCUCCAUUUUGUUGCUAUUAGUUUCCUGUUUUUCUGCUGGGAGUUUUUCUAGUAUCUACCAUUAAGAUGUUCAGAUUCAUUUUUGGGUUCGCAAAUUCAGAGAUUCUACAGAUGAAAAUUGAUUCUUUAUUGAGUCGACAGUUGAAUCAAUGCAUGAGCAAAGAGGACAUCGCGACUUAAAUCAACCUACACUACGUUUAUCAGAAUUGGACAAGAAGCUAAAGUUAAGGGACGACCUAAUUUACCAAUCACAAUCAUCAGAAAGUAUGCGCAACUCGUAUUGCUACUUUUACACAAGCUUUCAAGCCCAAAGUGCAAGGAUUGACAUUGAGGUGGAGCCAAGAAGAAGGGCAAUAAAAGAUGCCCUUUUCAAAAGUAGCUGUGAAUUCAUCAAUUUGUUAUGAAAGAAAUCCAGAGCUACGAGGUCUACAAGACCCAUAUAUAUGAGAAUACCAGAAGACAGGGACCCCAACAAGCCCUCCAAAAUCAAUGCAUUUGGACUAGUGUCGUCGUAACCGGUCACUGAGAACAUAAUCAUGCCCAAAACUAUUCCAAUGGGUGUAGUCACUGCAAACAUGAAGCACAUGUAAGCAGUUGUUCCAAUGCUGAAUCCUGCCUGUACACAAGAAAUGAUUCGUGAACUAGAGCGGAUUUCUGGGCUGUAGAAUAGCUUCAAACCAUCUCAAAUAAUGCGUGAUUAUGCAGCAGAUGACCAGCGUGCACCUAUACACAUAUAAUGUUUUCUGAUGUUUUUCAUCAUUCGUGUUUUUAAAUUUACAUCGAACAAAGUCGAAUACUAAUCAAUGUUCCAAUAGAAUGCUUUAAUGAAAAUCACACGUUAGUUCAUCCAAAGGGGACAAAGAGACCAGCAAACUUAGGUCCAAGCUUAGCCUUCAUAGAUGUGACUGACCAUUAUUAACUUUGGCUUCAAGAACCACAUAAACUGCGAGUGCCAAAUUGUACGAGAGGGGGGAAAAGAAGCCCUGAAAAUAAAGUAGUUUGCAAUUCUACAGAGAUCCAAUUUGAUUUCUUCUAGAACAACAUUUCAACAGUGACGUUAAAUUAUUGAUGUUGAGUUAGGGAUAGCAAGGAUCACUUGAUUAGAGUCAUCUUCCUGCAUACUACUUAAAAGAACAUUUGAAAAGCCUUACGAGAGGAAAUGGCCUCACAAGAAAAGCAGUAAAUUCUCUUCUGAGGUGGCUUGCCUGAUAGGUAUCUGACACAUGUUUCCCGCCUCAGAAAGGAAGCAAGAAGGUAACCAACGGAUACUCUUGCGGAACAAGAGGUUUGAAUGUGCUCCGCUAAAGAAUCUGGUGAGAGAUGGAAUUAGGCAGGGGAUGCUCUACCUUUAGGUUUUAGGAAGAGGUGAUUUUGGCUGAGAUGCAAUGGGUAGAAUGCAUUUGUUUGAGGCAAAGCGGAGAGAGGAAACCUUCUCAAGUUGAAAGCUUAAAUAAGAAAGCAAGCAUUCCCUUUGGAAAGAGAAAAAGAUUCUGCCCUGAAGGGGCAAGCUACUACUAACAGGAACAGAGUGCACAUCGGUAAACUGAAGAGAGGUGAAUUAAUUUUCCAAGUUACAACGGAUUACCGAGGUGUUUAUUUCAAGGCUUGAGCUUGGCCAUCACCAAUGGGUUAAAAAGAGUACAUUCAGUAUUGGCUUUUCUUCCUUAUUUUUGUGGAAUAACAGUUUCCGAAAAAAAAAAUGGGUGAAUGGAAAGUUCUGCUUUUACAGCUUAAUGCACAGAUCUGAUCCUUGUCAAGAAUGUAUCUACUCAAGAUAUUAGCAAAUUUUUUCAAGUUUCAGCUUCAAUCAAACUAAUAUUGCGGUCGUAAUAUACUGUGAAUUUGAUGCGUCUGUUGCUGUUAAUAACCUACACAACUACUGCUUACACAUCGUUCAUCAUAUGUAUCAGAAUUGGCAGUCUUUACUACUUGCAUUCAUCUGAAUCCUCAAGGUACUUAGCACAUUUUUCAGCAUAACAAAGGAGAUGACAAUUCUUCACAACAGUAAAAUUAUUAACUCGUUAGUUGUUACCCAUGUGCAACUAUGCAGAUUCUAAACAAUAAAAAAAGACAAUACCAACAUAAUUUCAGCCAGUCAAAAAAUCAAUAAGUAACAAAGAUGAAGCAGUAAAAAAAAUUACCUGAGCUAUACAACCUCCGAGCCCCAUCCCUUCAAAAAUCUGGUGAAACGAGAGCGCAGCAAUCAGCGGCCUAAUAGUGCACUUGUUCUGAGACAUCCCCAUGGUCACCCCUAUUAUGACCGAGUGAAAGAUUAUCCCUAUCUCCAGCACUUGCGACACCAAUCUCUGCUUCAAUUUCACCAGCUCCUCCGCUUGCGCCUCCACAUCCCGACCACCAUCCUCACCCCCCACCUCCUCAACUGACGACUUCUUCCUUUCCAAUUCCUCCCCGCUCAUCCCAAUCGGCGUAUAAUCAGCACUCUUGCUCAGCUUCAGCUCCAGCUCGCCUCCGUGUCCGUGGCCCUGAUGACCCUCCACGUGUGAACUCGCCGUCAAGUCAACGAACAGCGCCGUCAAGGCCCCGAUCAACGUUAUGAGCCCCGCAAAGGGGAAAUCUUUCCAAGGAUGGCGGGAGGCCACCUGGCAAUCAGCGAGCGCAUCGAAGGCGUCGGGCAGAACAUGGACGAGGGAGGUGGACAAAAUGACACCCGCCGCAAAACACUUGAUAAUUAGCACCGCCUUAUCAUAAGCGGGCUUUCCUUGGAACAACCGAGCCAGGAAUACCGGUAGACUGAUGCCUAUGGCGCUAGUCAAGAAAAUCACCAGAAUAGAGAUGAGUUUGAGGUAAGCUGCUGCUUUUCCAUCCCUGCAAGAACUAGCCCUGCCCGACUCCGCAGCGCACACAGCCAUAGCCAAUCAGCCCAGUUGAUAUGUUGAAUAGUAAGCAGUAGCACUAGUAUUCUCUAUUCUGUAGUAAAAUUUUGGGAGGUCCAGACUUCACUCACUCCGGUAAGAGACGCUCAAGACUCAGUCGUAACGAGUCACGGGUGGUGGGUGAUAGGACAGAGUUUGUAAGUACUCUCCUAGGUCCCAGGUGGCGAUGACUUCAACCAGAUGGGGUGCCGGGAAGGGGACGACGGGGAAUUUAGAAUUUAGUACUACUACGUCCUACUAUACAUGAUAUUGAAGGUUUGGAACGGUGCUGAGUCCACUAGUGAAUCCCUUCAACCACCAAAAAAAAAAAAAAAAAAAAAAAUCCACUAGUGAAUUUGCUAAGGGAGCCCCGUGUGAAUGGUUUAACGUGUUCGGGCCGGGUCCGGGUAGCAGGGAAUUAGUCGGACCCCGUAAGAUUGAUCCGAACACUCCUGUGUCGACAAAAAAAAAAAAAAAUGAAUUUGCUAAGGGAGCGUUGGCUGGGGUGGGGCAUUGAAUGUGGUGGGACUUCUAUUAUUGUUGUUAAUGUAGUAAAUGUAUGUGGAGGAUGAUUAAACGCAUUUUUUGAGAUUUGUCAUUUGUCUAUAAAAAAAAAAAAGUAAUUGGGCUGCAUUAGCCGAACUUCAAGACAAAUCACAUAUUGAGUUUGCGUUUUAUGAUGAGGAUCUCAAGUGUCAAGUGUUGUUUCCCCAUGCAAGUAUGCGGCAAAAAAAAAAAUAUUUUUUGGAAGGAAAUAGAGAGACUAGAAGUAAAAUGUUGCAGAAAUAUAUGUGUUUUAUUAGAAAAAAGUGGACGGUGAUUUGGCAAAAAUAUGCCAAGGGUUUAUCCCAAAAAAAAAAUUUAAUAUGCGUGUCACGUGAUGGAUUCAAGGUAAAACAAGUGCUCAAAAAUUUAGAUUGGGAUCAAAAUUUACGAACUUGACUUUUGUAAAGAAAGUAAUAAAGUUACUAUCUUAAAAGUAAAGGAUUGAAAAAAAAUUAUUUGACAAAAUAUGAUAAAUAUUUUGAACAAUUUUCCUUAGUUAAAAACUUAAGAUCAAGCAAUCCUAGUUCAAGUAUAGGUGACCUCAUUCUACAUGAUAGGGACAACUUUUACCUAACCUAUCGUUGUAGUUUCUUGAGUAUGAUAUGCUGUAAUUUAUGACGAAUGAGCAAUUGAAAAUUAAUAGCAAGCGGGUAAAAUUGAAUUUGGGAAUUUGCUGUUAGCACAAACAAUUCCAAGAAGGUGUGAGUCAUAAAUGCCUAAAUCCUAUUGAUGCUGGGCCUGGUGUGAUUUUUAGAUAGGAUAAUGUACAUAAUUCUGACUUUCAUUGUUAAGACGUCUAUUUGUUCAAUUUACUGUUAAAGUUUUGGGUUCAAUCUUACACCUGAUACCCUGGAUUAACAAGAAGUUGAGAAGAGGCAAUGGACCUCAUGCAGAUUAAGUUUCUCCAGGCCCAGAUUGACCUGCAUAAAAAGGGCUUAUAUUGGCCUUCUGAAAUUCACAUGGAACAGAAAUGCAUGAAAAUCACUGAGCUCGCGGACGUACGAGACCCACUCUGGACUCUCUUGAAGGACCAAUAUGUAAUGGACUUCAGUAGAUACUUAAAGCGGAGGCGUUCUCUGCUACAAGAUAUUGGCUCGUGGGCCGAGAGAUGUUUGUUGCUCAUUCACCGCCGCCACCACCAUUGCCCUGAGAGUUGUUUGUGUCUAAUCUUUUAUGCAAGGCUGAUUUAUUAGUGCUAGCUACAGCAUAUAGAGUAAAAGAAGAGGAACUUUUCUUUUUUCUUUUUUCUUCUUUUUCUUUUGUGUGUGUGUGUGUGUGUGUGUGUGAAGACAGGGGCUAUAGUAAGUUGUUUUGAGCAUUUAAAUCUUCCGGGUUAUGAUUAUUGUUAACAUGAUGAUUUUCAUUUUAUGCCGCCAUGAUAAACUCAUAAACACGAUACUUUCAUUAAAUCAUUCUGUAACAUUCUUACCACAGCAACAGAAUCAGGGUAAUUUAAUGAUCCUAAACACCUUCUAAUCUAAUAAGGGUAAAUUAAUGACUCUUGCCAUAUCAGUGAUAUUCCGAUGUGUUCCGACGAUCAGUUUUCUGCAUGUGAAAGACAAGACAUAGAGGUGUGGUUGUGCACUUGACAUUCUGGCCUACUUGCUUCCAAAACAUGAAUGGACGUGUGAACUAAAAUGAGAGAACUCUCUAUUGCAGAGAGGCUCUGCAAUUAUUUUCUCGUACCCUUUUAUGAGUCUGCAUUGUGAUUGCUCUGUCAUCCUAAUCAGUAGACUGUUUGGUACAUACAACUGAGGAUCCGUUCAUACUACUUGUGAUGCUUACUUGACAAAGGGGAGGGACGGGUUGAGUGGUUCAAAAAGAAAAAGAGGGAGUAUAAGUUUGGUAUUCGAACCUUGCCAUUGACACUAAAAAGAAUGCUUCUUUGAGACGUUGUGUGGCAUUGGCAGUUAAUGUAGAGGUAAACAUGCAGGGGAAAAAAAUUUCUUAGAUUUCUGUUUUUGAUUUUCAUCUUUGGCUGUCAUUAUUAUUUGCAUUUUACAUUAUAUAGUGUGGUACCCAAUAAAAUUUUUUUUUUUUUUUUACAAAACCUGAAGUUUGAGCCUUCUAUUGUUGAGUUUUCACCGACAACUGCUGUCCUGUAUGUUUCAUCACAUUCUAUGAACACCACCUGUUGCUGCUGAACUUCAGAUUCUUCAUCGGGGAUCUUUUUUUUUUGGCCAUGUCUAGUUUAAUUCUACUAGUACUAAAGUAUCCGCCAUUUUGGGUGGAUAAGAUUUGCUAAUUAGACGAUACAGUACCCUCAUGAGAACAAAAAGAAGGCGAAAGUGUGGAUAUAUGUUCAUCAGCAGUAUUUUAGUAACAUAUUUAUUCUUGCUUUUGUUUCAGACUACUCAAGCAUCAUAAAUUGGACUGCUGUUUUCUACUAAAAAUAUAGUUUUUAAUCAGCUUUUCACUUCACAUCUGUCAAAUGAUUACUGUACAUUUUCCAGAGGAACCGACUUCUGCGCAGAAGCCAAAAUGGUCUACAUUUUUUGGUGGGUUCUACUUCUACUUCUUCCAUUGGAUUCAUGUUCUGUGUUGUGCAUUUGGAUUUUCCUUUCCAAAUAAUAUAUAUAAUCUCUCUCUCCGUGGUGUACUCUGCAGUACAUCAUUUGGAGAAGGAAAACCAUCGCCGAUCUGUUACCCCCGGCCCACCUGUACUUGACAGCCACCACCGAGUUAGUGCCUUUACUGCAACACCUUCAUGAUUUAAUUACUUCGAAGAAUGAGAUUCGGUUUACAAAAUACUAUGAAAAAAUAUUUUGUCUUGUUAAGGAAGGGUAGUAGAAUUUUUACUGGUUGAAUCUUUCUCUGACAGAGAUUACAAGUGAAAAAAUUUAGCAACAGCGCGACACUAAUUAAUAUUAACAUUGACAUCCAAAAGCAUAAGAAGAGGAUCGUGAAAAUGCUUAUACCAAUAAUAUAUAUAUAUAUCAUAAUUAAAGGCGCUAAUCACAUCAACCAUUGCUUUAACCCCAGAUGAUCAAUAAAGUGAUGCCCCACUGAGACCAAAGGUGUUCCAAGUAACGACGAAAAGGAAAAGCUCCUUGGAGUCUGGCCACCAUAAAAUGAUGGUUCCAGGAGUCAGUCAGUGCAGCAAGCUUGCUUCGCAUCCAGCCAAUAAAAUCAGCAGGGCCGAUCAAUAAUUUAUUCAUCAUCUAUGUCACAAUCGUCACUGUGAUUAGUACUAUCAUACUAAUCAUCAUUAACAUUUGUUAGCAAGUUCCUAUCAAAUGCACUUAUUUAAAGGCAAAUCAUAGUAGUGAAUUCUUUUUCUUUUUUUUUUAUCUUUUUCCUUUAAACAAAUCCACGCAGCCCGCCUAGCUUCCUUGUUUGGCAGGUAAUUCCUACUACUAGAAGUGAAGUAGAGUCGGGAUUUAAGCUAGCUUGAGGUUUGCAAUUUUGACCGGAUUCUUCUAAAACCGAUUGUUCUUGGGUGUCGUCAAUAUGCUUUCUGGACGUUAGUGCACAAUUUGCAACGGAUAUUCUCACACUCUUUCCUUUCUGUUUUUACCAAUUAAUAUUAUUGAGGUUGAGACUGAGACCCAAAAAUGGGGCUACAAAUGGCGGAUGAUCUAAAAGUAGACAUCUACUUUUACCCGGAUAUGCAUGAUGAGGAAUGAUCAAAUGAGACAAAUGUGGAGCGAGACAAGUGACUGCAUGAUUAGUCCAACAACUCACGAGGCUGAGGACCUUCACUUGCCAACAAAGACACGAAGAGGGAGGCACCCAAUUAAGGAAAUCUGUAAAGAGAUACUCGGAUCAUAACUAUGAAAGCAACAAGACAAAAGCUUCCACCACGCCACUGGUCAGAGACUGUUUAGAGACACAGCAGGGAUGGAUGGUCUUAUCGGACAGUACAUACAAGACGUUUCGCAAAUUUUGCCAUUUUGCCCAAAUCCGAGAAUUGCAACGCAGGGUGUUUAGGAAAAUUCUCCUCUCUUAUGGCUCAGACCUCUCUCGGGUCUACAAAAAGAGGAUUUGAUUUUGGUGGUGGGGCUUCAUUGCCGAGGGUGGUUUUUGCGUCUUCAUAAAAUUUCAAGGCUUUUAUGCACCACAAAUCUUCAGGACAAGACAGUAACUUCCAAUGCGGGAUGUGAAGCUUCAGCUCAUCGCAGCCUCCAACUUCCGUCACAAUCACCUUGCACUCGUCCUUCCCAUCAGACUCCCUAGCCAAAUUGUGCACGAAUCUGCAGAGCGUCCGGACCAGCUUCCCCGACGAAGGCCCUUCACGGUGAAAUCCGUAAAUGAAGUAAAACCCAAAGGGAUUUUCGGAGAAAUCAGGAAGUGACGGCACUCUAAAGCAUGGGAGCACACUUUCCAGCAUUCUUGAGCUCUUCGCAUAAAACAUGCAGGACAAGGUUGGUUUUCCUACCCUCAGCUUUAUGACUUCCGUGCUUCUCCAUACACUCAUCAUUGCCCAGCUAUUUGGAAUUCCUCCGUCCAAUCCGAACCCCCCGCUGGGCGACUCGUGAUCACCUCGACGAAAGUAGGCCACCCACGUGCCCAAGCUCAGCUUGUUUCUCAGUACUCUGUUGAUGUCGUGGGGGAAGAAUUCAGUCGAACUCAUGAACUUGCGGUAAAGAAACUCGGCCUGGUCGACCUUUAACUUCAUUAUCUCAACACUCGAUGAUAAACGGAAGGAACGGUUGUACACCGGGUGGACGAGGAUAACUGGGGUUCUGAACUCGAGGUAGCCGAGUUUAUUGACGAAGAGGUUGAUGGAGGCUUGGUUGUCUUUCUCCGUGGCCAUGUAUGCAUACUCGACCUGAUGGCUGAUGAACCAUUCCUCCAUGUGAUGCACAAGGCUUAGAGCUAUCCCUUUUCGUCUGUGGCGCGGCGCCACCCUCAAGCCCAAGAUAUAGCCCACCUUGGCCAGAUGAUUCUUUGGAGACGUAUGAAACGUAACAACCUUGAUGGAGCCUUGAAUCACACCAAUUAUCUCAUCGUUCAACUCGGCCACCUAAUUAAUUACCAUGUCACACAGAUUAAGAAGUACAACUUGUUAGUAUUGCGAAGAAGAAAGACGCACUGAUCGAUCGCCAUGAAGAUCAAUGCUAUUACAACUUACAAGUUGAAGGGGAGCAGCAAAAAAAAAAAAAAAAAAAGAUGAUGAAAACGCACGCUGGAGAGGAUAAAAAAAAAAGAGAAAAUUAAACGGUGUAGGUACCAGCAUGUUGUACAUCGGACUAUUGCGGAUUCUAGAGAUGGGGUCUCCCAUAGUAUCCGUGAAGAGGAAAACAUGUUCUGCUGGCCCUACCUCGCAUCCUCUUUCAAGAUCUUCGACCCUAACUUUAUCAAUUUCCCAGUCAUAGCUUCUUAUCUUAAUCUUCUCAAAUGCCAUUAUGAGAUUUCUUCCACCUCAAAAAUUAGACUCUCUGAGCCUCGAAGAUCUCGCUAUAAAUGUGUGAUCAGGCGGAUGGAUGCGUGGAGACUGACACAUUAACCUUAAUCGUUAGUAGAUGAAAAGGAAAAAAUGGGCUUUUUGUUUAUUAGAAGCCAUACUAGAGACUAAAGCAGACUAGAUGGAGUGGGAAUAUAUAUACAUACAUACAUAUAUAUAUAUAUAUAUAUAUAUAAACAUGUGUGCGUGUGUAUUCGCUCUGGGCCCCCUUUCACUGCAAAUUAACAACUACUACAGUGGGAAGCACGGAUCUUGAAAAUCAUCAUAAUUGUCAUGAUCAGCACGUAAGUAGUAACUCAAUAUAUUUACAUGUACAAAAUGGAAUAGUCCUUUUCUAUCAUUCAUUGUUUAAAACGACGGGAAUGUUUAGUCACUAUCUUUACGUUAAAACUAUUUGAAUACAUGCGACAAAAAAAAAAAAAAAAAAA